AGAUGAGGUUAGUUAAUGACAGGACUGCCGGCUCUCCUGCGCUCCAGCAAUGAUAGGCUGUCCUGGAUUCUUCCCAUAGAGACAGCCCCUGGUGGGAUCAUUACCAAGUGGUCAACAGGACACAUUUGGUCACUUGUCCAUAGGAAAAUGGUGUGGUGGCUGCAUUUGCCGGAUCAACCACGGCUCAGCUGACACAUUGAGGUGUAUCAUCACUGCUUGAUGGCCGCAGGUCUACCGUCCAAUGCUCACAUUAUUUCACUGCUCAUCAUUUCGUGGGAUCCUAGAAACCCUCCAGUUGAAAACGGUCUCUUAGGUCACUUUUGUGACACUGUGGAUGAUUUAUUGAAAAUUCAAGGCACACUUGACCAGCAUGGCUACUACAGCAUUAAUGAGACACACCAUCCCAUCUGGUU